GUUUAAUUCAGUAGCUUGUGGUUCUAUAUAUUUGCUGCAGCUGGCCUUGGCAAUAAUUUGGAAUAUUAAUUGUUUUAUUUGCUUUCUUUCUCUUGAACUUGCUGCAUACCCAUUGAACUGGCAUAGAAAAGCAGCACACUCGAUUAAAAGAGGGAACUGGUUGUUUACUUUUCAUUUGUUUACUCUCCCUGUCAUACUUAUGUGCCUUUGACGAGUUAAAUCUGUAAAUUUUCUUCCAAAUAGAGUUUUACUUCGAUCUUGUUUCGUGUACAUCUGAUACUUAGUUCGUUAGGCUUUGUUCUGAAACUAGUUAAUGUGAUUCUUUCAAGCUUUAUAUUUGUCUAUUAUAUUUCGAACUAGUUUUGUUACGAAAAGAGACCUAUUAUAUUUUUACUUGCUUUCUCUUGAAUUUGCUAUCAAGAGAAAAAAGGGAGCAAUGUUGUUUCUUUUCACUUGUUAAAUUUGCUAUCCAACAUAAUUUGUAAUUUUUGUCCCCUUAUUUUAGAGAAAAUAACUUUCUUAUUUUAGUAAAUCUGUCUUCUCUUUCUCCAUCACUUGUUCUUCAUUUUCCUUUUAAUUCAAAAUCUAUUCUAUCUUCUUUUCCUGUUCCUGGUCCUCCUUAUUCUACUGCUUUUGAUGUUUCUUUACCUGAUCCAGCACAUUUUCCUCUUUCCAGUUCACUGAACUCUCUCAAUUACCUGUCUCCCUCCUAUUGAUUCUUCUUCACAUCCUGCAUUUUCUCCUGUUUCUCAAAACCAUGUUCCUUUAAGAAGAAAUACCAGAAGUAUUUCCAAACCAGCACGUUAAAGGAUUUUGUCAAUAUUGUCAUUUCUCCAUCAAGUUAGUUCUCUCCAGUACUGAUUCAAGUUCAUUUAGCUUUCAUUUAAAUAGCUAAAAUUCAUGAACCAACCACUUACCUUAAAGCCUCAAAAGAUCCUAAUUGGGUUAAGGCAAUGACAGAAGAAUUGACUGCUUUAGAAAAUAAUGGUACUUGGAUUUUUAAGAUCAAAUAUAAGCCUAGUGGAGUUAUAAGCCUAAUGGAGUUAUGUCAAAAAGAUAUGUUUAUGGUCUUAGACAAGCUUCGAGGCAAUGAAACCUUGAAUUUACUACCUUUAUUUUGAAAUUGGGGUUUUGUCAAUCUACUCAUGAUCAGUGUUCAUUUAUAAGAUCUAUUGAUAAUCAUUUUCUUGUUAUUCUGGUAUAUGUUGAUGUUAUAAUUACUAGAACUGAUAUGGGUGCUAUUACUUCUGUUAAACAAUCUCUUGAUGGUAAAUUCUUUAAGAAGGAUCUUGGUUCUGCAAAAUACUUUCUGGGUAUUGAAAUAGCCAGGUCUGAUACGGCACUAUUAUUAGUUAGCAAAAAUUUAUUCUUGAUGUGGUUCAUGAAACUGGUUUGCAAGAUGCUAAGGCUUCAUUAUCUCCUCUUCCUAGAGGUCUUAAAUAGUCUCUAGAUGAAGGAGAACUUUUAGAUGUUGGUGAACUACUUUAUUCCCUUUAACAAGACCUGACUUGAAUUACUAUGUUCACCAUCUCAAUCAAUUUAUGUCUUCUUCUAGACGACCUUAUCUUUUGGUUGCUCUGUAUCUUGUUAAGUAUUUAAAUGGUUGUCCCUCAAGGGGUUUGUUUUUCUUUGCUUCUAAUAAUUUGCAGCUCCAAGCUUACCGUUAUGCAGACAGGGCAUCAUGUUCCUUUACAAGGAGUUCUCUCAUAGGAUUUUGUGUAUUUCUUGGUGAUGCAUUAGUCUCUUGGAAGUCUAAAAAGUAGAAUAUUAUUUGUAUUAUUGUAUAAUUCAGCUAUAUACAGCUUAACUUUUAUAGGACUUUUAUAUAAGUAAACACUUUACCCUCUCUCGAUUAUCAAUAUAUAACAUUGUUCCAGUU